rnacentral:rRNA from 1 species
ACGUAUGGUGCAAGCGUUAUCCGGAUUUACUGGGUGUAAAGGGAGCGCAGGCGGUGCGGCAAGUCUGAUGUGAAAGCCCGGGGCUCAACCCCGGUACUGCAUUGGAAACUGUCGUACUAGAGUGUCGGAGGGGUAAGUGGAAUUCCUAGUGUAGCGGUGAAAUGCGUAGAUAUUAGGAGGAACACCAGUGGCGAAGGCGGCUUACUGGACGAUAGCUGACGCUGAGGCUCGAAAGCGUGGGGAGCAAACAG